CCUACGGGGGGCAGCAGUGAGGAAUAUUGGUCAAUGGGCGCGAGCCUGAACCAGCCACGUAGCGUGAAUGAUGACUGCCCUACGGGUGGUAAACUUCUUUUAUAGAGGAAUAAAGUGCGGCACGUGUGCCUUUUUGUAUGUACUUUAUGAAUAAGGCUCGGCUAACUCCGUGCCGGCAGCCGCGGUAAUACGGAGGGACCGGGCGUUAUCCGGAUUUAUUGGGUUUAAAGGGAGCGUAGAUGGGUUGUUAAGUCAGGUGUGAAAGUUUGCGGCUCAACCGUAAAAUUGCAAUUGAUACUGGGAGUCUUGAGUACAGUUGAGGUAGGUGGAAUUCGUGGUGUAGCGGUGAAAUGCUUAGAUAUUACGAAGAACUCCGAUUGCGAAGGCAGCUUACUAAACUGCAACUGACAUUGAUGCUCGAAAGUGUGGGUAUCAAACAGGAUUAGAUACCCUAGUAGUC
rnacentral:rRNA from 1 species